UACGUAGGGGGCAAGCGUUGUCCGGAUUUAUUGGGCGUAAAGAGCGUGUAGGCGGCCAUGCAGGUCAGCUGUGAAAACUCAAGGCUCAACCUUGAGACGUCGGUUGAAACCGUAUGGCUAAGAGUCCGGAAGAGGAGAAGUGGAAUUCCCGGUGUAGCGGUGGAAAUGCGCAGAUAUCGGGAAAGAACACCUAUGGCGAAGGCAGCUCUCUGGGACGGUACUGACGCUGAGACGCGAAAGCGUGGGAGCAAACAGG
rnacentral:rRNA from 1 species